rnacentral:rRNA from 1 species
UCUGGUUGAUCCUGCCAGUAGUCAUAUGCUUGUCUCAGAGAUUAAGCCAUGCAUGUCUAAGUACAUACCUUUAAACGGUGAAACCGCGAAUGGCUCAUUAAAUCAGCUAUGGUUCCUUGGAUCGUACAUACUACAUGGAUAACUGUAGUAAUUCUAGAGCUAAUACAUGCCACUAUGCCCUGACCCGCGAGGGAACGGGUGGAUUUAUUAGAACAGAACCAACCGGGGGCGGCUUCGGUCGUCCCUGUUGCAUUCUGUGAUGACUCUGGAUAACUUCACUGAUCGCAGUCGGCCUUGUGUCGGCGACGGAUCUUUCAAAUGUCUGCCCUAUCAAUUUUCGAUGGUAGGUGACCUGCCUACCAUGGUGCUAACGGGUAACGGGGAAUCAGGGUUCGAUUCCGGAGAGGGAGCCUGAGAAACGGCUACCACUUCCAAGGAAGGCAGCAGGCACGCAAAUUACCCAAUCCCGGCACGGGGAGGUAGUGACGAAAAAUACGGAUACGGGACUCACUAGAGGCUCCGUAAUUCGAAUGAGUACAAUUUAAAUCCUUUAACGAGGAUCAACUGGAGGGCAAGUCUGGUGCCAGCAGCCGCGGUAACUCCAGCUCCAGAAGCGUAUAUUAAAGUUGUUGCAGUUAAAAAGCUCGUAGUNGGAUAGGAGGCAUCGGUCAAAGAAAAUCAUGUAACCAAUUUCUCUGCUGCGUUUCCAUUGUGCAUGAGUGUGGACGAGUGUGCACGAACAGAGAAACGCCUAACCAGUCACUCAGCUUUCAACCAAGCCCUGUCUACUCCGUGGUCCUUUUGACCAUCAGGUUUCCAACAUCAUUUUAGUUGCAUUUCGAUAACAGACGGAGCUGAGCACGCUAUCCAUGGUUUGUCAGGAUCGCUGUCGCACAUACACGCCCCACAUGACAUGUUGGCGACGUGUGAAUGGCAUGCAGCUUUCGAGCGUGAGGGCUGAGAAAUGGAAACACAGCAUCAUGACAAGAUUAUCACAACUAUUUUCAUUCAACAUGAAGCUAGGACGUUGUUAAUUCAAUUGAGUCACAUGCAACUCCAUCUGAAGCUAUCAUGUUUUAAAUAGAUAUAAGGCUACAAAUCCCAUAUGUUGUUGCUCGAGUAAAAACCGUUUUCGAAGAUAUACGAUUGACUACAUUAUUACCCUGAAUUCUACACUGAUACCAUGCAAAAUGCUACGGAGAAUAAAUUGAGUAAUUUGUUUUCAAAAUCCGCUGAGAAGCAGAGGAUGAAGUGAGUGUCGAUUUACCGCGGAAUGAAUUG